GUUUCAAUUCCUCAUUGUUAGGUAGGCUACAAAC
rnacentral:other from 1 species